GUCUCAAAGAUUAAGCCAUGCAUG
rnacentral:ncRNA from 4 species